rnacentral:rRNA from 1 species
CGACGGGUGAUAUGCUAAAAUNUGCCGGUAUGGGUNAACCUGGAACAGGCUAUACGCAUACGUCCUACGGGAAAGCAGGGAUCUCGGACUGCGCUAUCGGAUGAGUCUAUGUCGAUGGUGUUGUGAGGUAUGCUCACAGCGAGAUCCGUACUGUCUGAGAGGAUGAUCAGCACUUCGGGACUGAAAACGCCGAAUCCUACGGGAGGCACAGUGGGAUAUGGACAUGGGCGAAAGCUGAUCCAGCAUGUCGCGUGUGUGAAGAAGGCUUCGGGUUGUAAGCACUUCAGUGGGGAAGAAGCUUGGGGCUAAUACCCUCGAGGAAGGACUUCACCCACAGAAGAAGCACGGUUAAUUCCGUGCAGCAGCCGGGUAUACGGAGGGUGCGACCGUUAAUCGGGAUUACUGGGCGUAAAGCGCGCGUAGGCGGCUGAUAAGCCGGUUGUGAAAGCCCCGGGCUCAACCUGGGAACGGAUCCGGAACUGUCAGGCUAAAGUGCAGGAGAGGAAGGUAGAAAUUCCCCGGUGUACGGUGAAAUUGCGUAAAGAUCGGGGAGGGAAUACCAGUGGCGAAGGGGGGCCUUCCUGGAACUGACACUGACGC